ACUGGAACUGAGACACGGUCCAGACUCCUACGGGAGGCAGCAGUAAGGAAUCUUCCACAAUGGGCGAAAGCCUGAUGGAGCAACGCCGCGUGCAGGAUGAAGGCCCUCGGGUCGUAAACUGCUUUUAUGAGUGAAGAAUAUGACGGUAACUCAUGAAUAAGCACCGGCUAACUACGCGCCAGCAGCCGCGGUCAUACGUAGGGUGCAAGCAUUAUCCGGAGUGACUGGGCGUAAAGAGUUGCGUAGGUGGUUAGUAAAGUGAAUAGUGAAACCUGGUGGCUCAACCAUACAGACUAUUAUUCAAACUCACUAACUCGAGAGUGGUAGAGGUAACUGGAAUUUCUUGUGUGGGAGUGAAAUCCGUAGAUAUAAGAAGGAACACCAAUGGCGUAGGCAGGUUACUGGACCAUUUCUGACACUAAGGCACGAAAGCGUGGGGAGCGAACCGGAUUAGAUACCCGGGUAGUCCACGCCGUAAACGAUGGAUACUAGCUGUCGGGGGUAUCGACCCCCUCGGUGGCGAAGCUAACGCGUUAAGUAUCCCGCCUGUGGAGUACGGUCGCAAGACUAAAACAUAAAGGAAUUGACGGGGAUCAGCACAAGCGGUGGAUCGUGUUCUUUAAUUCGAUGAUAAACGAAGAACCUUACCAGGGCUUGACAUCCAGGGAAGCAUUGCGAAAGCAACGUGUGCCUUUUGGAACCCUGUGACAGGUGUUGCAUGGCCGUCGUCAGCUCGUGUCGUGAGAUGUUUGGUUAAGUCCAUCAACGAGCGCAACCCUUGUGAAUAGUUGUAUUUUUCUAUUCAGACUGCUCUAGUAAUAGGGAGGAAGGAGGGGAUGAUGUCAGGUCAGUAUUACCCUUACGUCCUGGGCUAGAAACACGAUACAAUGGCCGGUACAAUGCGCAGCGAAGCAGCAAUGUGGAGCAAAUCGCAUCAAAGCCGGUCCCAGUUCGGAUAAGAGGCUGAAACUCGCCUCUUUGAAGCCGGAAUCGCUAGUAAUCGCAAGUCAGCAAAUUGCGGUGAAUACGUCACUGAUCUUGUACACACCGCCCGUUAAACCAUGAAAGUGACCAACACCCGAAGUCCGAUUCGUCGGCCUAAGGUGGGGGGCAUGAUUGGGGUU
rnacentral:rRNA from 1 species